rnacentral:rRNA from 1 species
AGCGAACGCUGGCGGCAGGCUUAACACAUGCAAGUCGAGCGGGCACUUUCGGGUGUCAGCGGCGGACGGGUGAGUAACGCGUGGGAACGUGCCCUCUGGUUCGGAAUAACUCAGGGAAACUUGAGCUAAUACCGGAUACGCCCUUUUGGGGAAAGGCUUGCUGCCGGAGGAUCGGCCCGCGUCUGAUUAGCUAGUUGGUGAGGUAACGGCUCACCAAGGCGACGAUCAGUAGCUGGUCUGAGAGGAUGAUCAGCCACACUGGGACUGAGACACGGCCCAGACUCCUACGGGAGGCAGCAGUGGGGAAUGUUGGACAAUGGGCGCAAGCCUGAUCCAGCCAUGCCGCGUGAGUGAUGAAGGCCUUAGGGUUGUAAAGCUCUUUUAUCCGGGACGAUAAUGACGGUACCGGAGGAAUAAGCCCCGGCUAACUUCGUG